AACGUAGGUACCGAGCGUUAUCCGGAUUUAUUGGGCGUAAAGCGCGUGUAGGCGGCUUUGCAAGUCGGGUGUGAAAUCCCUCAGCUCAACUGAGGAAGUGCGCCCGAAACUGCAGAGCUUGAGUACCGGAGAGGAUGGUGGAAUUCCCCAAGUAGAGGUGAAAUUCGUAGAUAUGGGGAGGAACACCGGUGGCGAAGGCGACCAUCUGGACGGAUACUGACGCUGAGACGCGAAAGCGUGGGGAGCAAACAGG
rnacentral:rRNA from 1 species